UACAGAGGUCUCAAGCGUUGUUCGGAUUCAUUGGGCGUAAAGGGUGCGUAGGUGGCAUGGUAAGUCGGAUGUGAAAUCCCGGGGCUCAACCCCGGAACUGCAUUCGAUACUGCUGCGCCAGAGUACUGGAGAGGAGAUUGGAAUUUACGGUGUAGCAGUGAAAUGCGUAGAUAUCGUAAGGAAGACCAGUGGCGAAGGCGGAUCUCUGGACAGUUACUGACACUGAGGCACGAAGGCCAGGGGAGCAAACGGG
rnacentral:rRNA from 1 species